rnacentral:rRNA from 1 species
GCAGACUGAUACGUCCCCUUCGUCUAGAGGCCCAGGACACCGCCCUUUCACGGCGGUAACAGGGGUUCGAAUCCCCUAGGGGACGCCACUUGCUGGUUUGUGAGUGAAAGUCACCUGCCUUAAUAUCUCAAAACUCAUCUUCGGGUGAUGUUUGAGAUAUUUGCUCUUUAAAAAUCUGGAUCAAGCUGAAAAUUGAAACACUGAACAACGAAAGUUGUUCGUGAGUCUCUCNNNNNNNNNNNNNNNNNNNNNNNNNNNNNNNNNNNNNNNNNNNNNNNNNNNNNNNNNNNNNNNNNNNNNNNNNNNNNNNNNNNNNNNNNNCACACUAUCAUUAACUGAAUCCAUAGGUUAAUGAGGCGAACCGGGGGAACUGAAACAUCUAAGUACCCCGAGGAAAAGAAAUCAACCGAGAUUCCCCCAGUAGCGGCGAGCGGACGGGGAGCAGCCCAGAGCCUGAAUCAGUGUGUGUGUUAGUGGAAGCGUCUGGAAAGGCGUGCGAUACAGGGUGACAGCCCCGUACACAAAAAUGCACAUAUUGUGAGCUUGAUGAGUAGGGCGGGACACGUGGUAUCCUGUCUGAAUAUGGGGGGACCAUCCUCCAAGGCUAAAUACUCCUGACUGACCGAUAGUGAACCAGUACCGUGAGGGAAAGGCGAAAAGAACCCCGGCGAGGGGAGUGAAAAAGAACCUGAAACCGUGUACGUACAAGCAGUGGGAGCACGCUUAGGCGUGUGACUGCGUACCUUUUGUAUAAUGGGUCAGCGACUUAUAUUCUGUAGCAAGGUUAACCGAAUAGGGGAGCCGAAGGGAAACCGAGUCUUAACUGGGCGUUAAGUUGCAGGGUAUAGACCCGAAACCCGGUGAUCUAGCCAUGGGCAGGUUGAAGGUUGGGUAACACUAACUGGAGGACCGAACCGACUAAUGUUGAAAAAUUAGCGGAUGACUUGUGGCUGGGGGUGAAAGGCCAAUCAAACCGGGAGAUAGCUGGUUCUCCCCGAAAGCUAUUUAGGUAGCGCCUCGUGAAUUCAUCUCCGGGGGUAGAGCACUGUUUCGGCAAGGGGGUCAUCCCGACUUACCAACCCGAUGCAAACUGCGAAUACCGAAGAAUGUUAUCACGGGAGACACACGGCGGGUGCUAACGUCCGUCGUGAAGAGGGAAACAACCCAGACCGCCAGCUAAGGUCCCAAAGUCAUGGUUAAGUGGGAAACGAUGUGGGAAGGCCCAGACAGCCAGGAUGUUGGCUUAGAAGCAGCCAUCAUUUAAAGAAAGCGUAAUAGCUCACUGGUCGAGUCGGCCUGCGCGGAAGAUGUAACGGGGCUAAACCAUGCACCGAAGCUGCGGCAGCGACGCUUAUGCGUUGUUGGGUAGGGGAGCGUUCUGUAAGCCUGCGAAGGUGUGCUGUGAGGCAUGCUGGAGGUAUCAGAAGUGCGAAUGCUGACAUAAGUAACGAUAAAGCGGGUGAAAAGCCCGCUCGCCGGAAGACCAAGGGUUCCUGUCCAACGUUAAUCGGGGCAGGGUGAGUCGACCCCUAAGGCGAGGCCGAAAGGCGUAGUCGAUGGGAAACAGGUUAAUAUUCCUGUACUUGGUGUUACUGCGAAGGGGGGACGGANCCAUCCUCCAAGGCUAAAUACUCCUGACUGACCGAUAGUGAACCAGUACCGUGAGGGAAAGGCGAAAAGAACCCCGGCGAGGGGAGUGAAAAAGAACCUGAAACCGUGUACGUACAAGCAGUGGGAGCACGCUUAGGCGUGUGACUGCGUACCUUUUGUAUAAUGGGUCAGCGACUUAUAUUCUGUAGCAAGGUUAACCGAAUAGGGGAGCCGAAGGGAAACCGAGUCUUAACUGGGCGUUAAGUUGCAGGGUAUAGACCCGAAACCCGGUGAUCUAGCCAUGGGCAGGUUGAAGGUUGGGUAACACUAACUGGAGGACCGAACCGACUAAUGUUGAAAAAUUAGCGGAUGACUUGUGGCUGGGGGUGAAAGGCCAAUCAAACCGGGAGAUAGCUGGUUCUCCCCGAAAGCUAUUUAGGUAGCGCCUCGUGAAUUCAUCUCCGGGGGUAGAGCACUGUUUCGGCAAGGGGGUCAUCCCGACUUACCAACCCGAUGCAAACUGCGAAUACCGGAGAAUGUUAUCACAGGAGACACACGGCGGGUGCUAACGUCCGUCGUGAAGAGGGAAACAACCCAGACCGCCAGCUAAGGUCCCAAAGUCAUGGUUAAGUGGGAAACGAUGUGGGAAGGCCCAGACAGCCAGGAUGUUGGCUUAGAAGCAGCCAUCAUUUAAAGAAAGCGUAAUAGCUCACUGGUCGAGUCGGCCUGCGCGGAAGAUGUAACGGGGCUAAACCAUGCACCGAAGCUGCGGCAGCGACGCUUAUGCGUUGUUGGGUAGGGGAGCGUUCUGUAAGCCUGUGAAGGUGUGCUGUGAGGCAUGCUGGAGGUAUCAGAAGUGCGAAUGCUGACAUAAGUAACGAUAAAGCGGGUGAAAAGCCCGCUCGCCGGAAGACCAAGGGUUCCUGUCCAACGUUAAUCGGGGCAGGGUGAGUCGACCCCUAAGGCGAGGCCGAAAGGCGUAGUCGAUGGGAAACAGGUUAAUAUUCCUGUACUUGGUGUUACUGCGAAGGGGGGACGGAGAAGGCUAUGUUGGCCGGGCGACGGUUGUCCCGGUUUAAGCGUGUAGGCUGGUUUUCCAGGCAAAUCCGGAAAAUCAAGGCUGAGGCGUGAUGACGAGGCACUACGGUGCUGAAGCAACAAAUGCCCUGCUUCCAGGAAAAGCCUCUAAGCAUCAGGUAACAUCAAAUCGUACCCCAAACCGACACAGGUGGUCAGGUAGAGAAUACCAAGGCGCUUGAGAGAACUCGGGUGAAGGAACUAGGCAAAAUGGUGCCGUAACUUCGGGAGAAGGCACGCUGAUAUGUAGGUGAAGUCCCUUGCGGAUGGAGCUGAAAUCAGUCGAAGAUACCAGCUGGCUGCAACUGUUUAUUAAAAACACAGCACUGUGCAAACACGAAAGUGGACGUAUACGGUGUGACGCCUGCCCGGUGCCGGAAGGUUAAUUGAUGGGGUCAGCGCAAGCGAAGCUCUUGAUCGAAGCCCCGGUAAACGGCGGCCGUAACUAUAACGGUCCUAAGGUAGCGAAAUUCCUUGUCGGGUAAGUUCCGACCUGCACGAAUGGCGUAAUGAUGGCCAGGCUGUCUCCACCCGAGACUCAGUGAAAUUGAACUCGCUGUGAAGAUGCAGUGUACCCGCGGCAAGACGGAAAGACCCCGUGAACCUUUACUAUAGCUUGACACUGAACAUUGAGCCUUGAUGUGUAGGAUAGGUGGGAGGCUUUGAAGUGUGGACGCCAGUCUGCAUGGAGCCGGCCUUGAAAUACCACCCUUUAAUGUUUGAUGUUCUAACGUGGACCCGUGAUCCGGGUUGCGGACAGUGUCUGGUGGGUAGUUUGACUGGGGCGGUCUCCUCCUAAAGAGUAACGGAGGAGCACGAAGGUUGGCUAAUCCUGGUCGGACAUCAGGAGGUUAGUGCAAUGGCAUAAGCCAGCUUGACUGCGAGCGUGACGGCGCGAGCAGGUGCGAAAGCAGGUCAUAGUGAUCCGGUGGUUCUGAAUGGAAGGGCCAUCGCUCAACGGAUAAAAGGUACUCCGGGGAUAACAGGCUGAUACCGCCCAAGAGUUCAUAUCGACGGCGGUGUUUGGCACCUCGAUGUCGGCUCAUCACAUCCUGGGGCUGAAGUAGGUCCCAAGGGUAUGGCUGUUCGCCAUUUAAAGUGGUACGCGAGCUGGGUUUAGAACGUCGUGAGACAGUUCGGUCCCUAUCUGCCGUGGGCGCUGGAGAACUGAGGGGGGCUGCUCCUAGUACGAGAGGACCGGAGUGGACGCAUCACUGGUGUUCGGGUUGUCAUGCCAAUGGCACUGCCCGGUAGCUAAAUGCGGAAGAGAUAAGUGCUGAAAGCAUCUAAGCACGAAACUUGCCCCGAGAUGAGUUCUCCCUGACCCUUUAAGGGUCCUGAAGGAACGUUGAAGACGACGACGUUGAUAGGCCGGGUGUGUAAGCGCAGCGAUGCGUUGAGCUAACCGGUACUAAUGAACCGUGAGGCUUAACCUU